UUUUGAUAUAAAUUAUGCAGAGAACCCAACCCUAAGCAUCAGACAGCAUCAGUCAGCUCUCAGUUAAAGAAUACUUCAAAUAUUUUUAUUAGCAAUCCCUUAAUCAUGUUCAAAUACGUCGUUUUCUUCUGUUUAUUUGCUGCAGUCUUUGCUGAGCCUGGAAUUCUCAGACCAGCCAUCUCGAUUGCAGCUAGACCAGCAAUUAUUUCAGCAGCACCUGUUGGAAUUAUUCGUUCGCCAAUUAUUGCUCCAGUUGGUGUUCGAGUUGGUGUACCAAUUGGAAUUAAAAGCGGAUUGAUUUCUGGUGGAUUGAUUCAUUAGUUCCUGAAAUUCGUAUAUUGGAUGCAAAAUAAGUCUAAAACAUUUUAAUGUUUUUGCAAAUGACUGUAAAGCGAAUAAACUAUUGUUUUUGUUGGAAAACAAA